rnacentral:rRNA from 1 species
GUCAGCGGCAGACGGGUGAGUAACGCGUGGGAACAUACCUUUUGGUUCGGAACAACACAGGGAAACUUGUGCUAAUACCGGAUAAGCCCUUACGGGGAAAGAUUUAUCGCCGAAAGAUUGGCCCGCGUCUGAUUAGCUAGUUGGUGAGGUAACGGCUCACCAAGGCGACGAUCAGUAGCUGGUCUGAGAGGAUGAUCAGCCACAUUGGGACUGAGACACGGCCCAAACUCCUACGGGAGGCAGCAGUNNNGAAUAUUGG